UAAUUUAGCAGGCAGGGAGAACCAUCACUGACAAGGUGACUCUCCCAAUCUGAGGUUCAGCCAUUGCACUGUAGCUCUGUAGAGCCCAUCCAUUCCCCAAACAUGGGAAUCUUGAUCGCAUGAUUUUAGUAGUGGGGGAUUGCAUUCAGCCUCACCCCCA
ensembl:snRNA U1 U1 spliceosomal RNA